GACAGAGGUCUCGAGCGUUAGGCGGAAUCACUGGGCUUAAAGCGUGUGUAGGCGGAUGUCUAAGUACCUUGUGAAAUCCCACGGCUUAACCGUGGAAUUGCUUGGUAUACUGGAUGUCUUGAGCCAGCUAGGGGCAACCGGAACAAAUGGUGGAGCGGUGAAAUGCGUAGAUAUCAUUUGGAACGCCAAUGGUGAAAACAGGUUGCUGGGGCUGUGCUGACGCUGAGACACGAAAGCCAGGGGAGCAAACGGG
rnacentral:rRNA from 1 species